rnacentral:rRNA from 1 species
UAGGGAAUAUUGGACAAUGGGGGCAACCCUGAUCCAGCCAUGCCGCGUGAGUGAAGAAGGCCCUCGGGUUGUAAAGCUCUUUUGUCCGGAAAGAAAAGCUUCGGGUUAAUACCCCGGGGUUCUGACGGUACCGGAAGAAUAAGCACCGGCUAACUUCGUGCCAGCAGCCGCGGUAAUACGAAGGGUGCAAGCGUUACUCGGAAUUACUGGGCGUAAAGCGUGCGUAGGUGGUUGUUUAAGUCUGAUGUGAAAGCCCUGGGCUCAACCUGGGAAUGGCAUUGGAAACUGGGCAGCUAGAGUGCGGUAGAGGGUAGUGGAAUUCCCGGUGCAGCAGUGAAAUGCGUAGAGAUCGGGAGGAACAUCUGUGGCGAAGGCGACUGCCUGGACCAGCACUGACACUGAGGCACGAAAGCGUGGGGAGCAAACA